GGGCGCAUAGCUCAGCGGUAGAGCCGGCCGGUCAUAACGGCUUGGUCGUCAGUUCGAAUCCGGCUGCGCCUACCA
rnacentral:tRNA from 1 species